AUUGAACGCUGGCGGCAUGCCUUACACAUGCAAGUCGAACGGCAGCACGGGAGCAAUCCUGGUGGCGAGUGGCGAACGGGUGAGUAAAGUAUCGGAACGUGCCCAGUCGUGGGGGAUAACGUAGCGAAAGUUAAGCUAAUACAGCAUACGAUCUAAGGAUGAAAGCGGGGGAUCGCAAGACCUCGCGCGAUUGGAGCGGCCGAUAUCAGAUUAGGUAGUUGGUGGGGUAAAGGCUCACCAAGCCGACGAACGGUAGCUGGUCUGAGAGGACGACCAGCCCAGCUGGGACUGAGACACGGCCCAGACUCCUACGGGAGGCAGCAGUGGGGAAUUUUGGACAAUGGGCGAAAGCCUGAUCCAGCCAUGCCGCGUGCAGGAUGAAGGCCUUCGGGUUGUAAACUGCUUUUGUACGGAACGAAAAGGUUUGGCCUAAUAAGCUGAGCUCAUGACGGUACCGUAAGAAUAAGCACCGGCUAACUACGUGCCAGCCGCCGCGGUAA
rnacentral:rRNA from 1 species